rnacentral:lncRNA from 1 species
GCGGAUCACUGACCCCAGCUGGCACUGUCCAGCUGUAUCUGCAGGCCGGUCCAGGAACCAGCUGGUUACCUUUUCUAUUCCAGGGCCUUAAGCGCAGUCUCUGGACAUGGCUCCUCGCCCAGCGGGCCUUUCCAUCCUGGUGCCCGCGCUUGGCUCAUAGGUGCUUUACUCACGGGAACAGCCAGUUUAUUCUCACCCUGAGGCUGACAAACACCAAGUGAUCACGUAGGUGACAACAAGGAUGAGGUGCCGGAGUCCCUUCCCCGAGGCCCGGCAGACGGCGCUUCCUGCUGGACAGUUCCGUCACGCUCCCCCGCAACGGCCUCCCUCAGCUUGAAAAGCCAGCCUGGCCGUUGCCAUGACCCCAGCAGCGGGGCUAUAGCUGGGAAAAAGAACAGAACAGGGGCCCCAUUAGGUCUUCUGGCUGACCCUGAACCAAAGGGGUUAAAACUUUACUAAAAAAAUUCUCCUGGAAAGCAGUUCAGGGACAGGGCAGAGAAAGAGAAAAACCAGAAGGCAAAGACACAGGACAGCGCAGGUGGCACCAGGAGCUUGCCGGAGAGCGGUAUUGUGCCCUGAGAAGAAGUGAGGAAAUCACAGAUGGGAAGUUUACCCUCCUGUCCUGCUCUGAGGAAGGUGUUACCUCCCAAAGACCAGACAACACACUGAGGUGCAUGCUGCACACUCACAAAGGGGAGGCCUGGUGCGGUGGCGCGCGGCUGUCGUCCCAGCACUCGGGAGGCUGAGGCAGGAGGAGCGCCACGAGAUCAAGGCCAGUCUGGACUACAUCGUGAGACCCUGUCUCAAACAAAGCAAAACAAAACAAAACAAAAAACAACGACAGCAACAAAAUCAAAACAAAAAGAACACGCCAAAGAAGUGUUAAUAGCUAAGGAUCCUCCUGUCAGAGAGAAAG